ensembl:lncRNA
GCUCCCCAGCGCAGCUGACUGAGGGGCGGCGGCGUCCCGUGCGCCGUCCCGGCACCUGCGUAGCGCUUCCAACGUGGAGUUUCGAGCUUGCCGUCCCGCAGUGUCACACAGUCACCCACGUGGGGCUCGUCCCGAGAAGGAACGUCUCCUGAGGUUGCACGCAGCACCCCGCACAGCCUUCCGCUGGCUGCCUAGGCGGGAGGUGGCACGUCCUCACAGGCACUGCCUUCCCUGCCCCUCACAGAACAUCACCGUAGCAGAGGGCACACAGAGGAUAUGAGCCCAGCCUGGUGCUGACUGCACCGUGCCCCGCUCCUCAGCCAUCAUCGCCAUCUUGGCCACCUCAGCACGUCACAGGGAUCAAAGCAAACCUCUCUGAACGGUUCUGCUCUCACCACUAGUUACACAGUUUCCAUUCAGGAGGAAGCUACAAGGCACAGGCUAGUUCUUGCUGGCAGCACAGCCAGCACCGUUCUGAGCCGGGAUCUCUCUUUGGAGGCCACUGCAGCAGGAGCCGGGGCAGGCUGGGGAUGUGUGGUAGCAGCCGUUGGCACAGGGUUACCUCAGCGUCCUGUCAGGGCACUGAGCGCCACAGAGCAGAUGGGAUCCCAGUCUUCCCGCCAUUUCUAUGACUGUAAAACUUUCCCAAAGUGCAAAAUUUCAUGCUUUUUGGAGAAGAAUCAAAGCUACCAGGCUUUCUUGAUGAAAAUAUUAAUUGCUAGUGCCAGGCAAGGACCUGGGCUCCAGAAGCUCCCCCAGCCGUGGCCUCAGCACCUGGUGAAAUGGCGAUGCUCAUCCUCUUUGCUCUCCUCCGCCUCCAGACGUCCCAGCCAGGCAGGAUCCUCAUGAUUUUCUCAGAUGUCUUCUUCAGUCCUGAAGAUUUUAUUUGUUCACUCAGCUGGAUUGCUCCUAGCAGUGCAACACUGGAAAUUCAAGCUGUGCCAUAUGUUUGUGUUUCAGAUACAGUACUGUUUCUUGGUCUCCCUC